rnacentral:rRNA from 1 species
GUCGAGCGUACCGAUGGGAGCUUGCUCCCUGAUGUCAGCGGCGGACGGGUGAGUAACACGUGGGUAACCUGCCUGUAAGACUGGGAUAACUCCGGGAAACCGGGGCUAAUACCGGAUGCUUGAUUGAACCGCAUGGUUCAAUUAUAAAAGGUGGCUUUUACCUACCCCUUACUAAUGGACCCCCGGCCCAUUACCUAUUUGGGAAGGUAACGGUUCCCCAAGGCAACAAUCCUAACCCAACCUGAAAGGGGAACCGGCCCCCCUGGAACUGAAACCCGGCCCAAACCCCUACGGAAGGCACCAUAAGGAAAUCUUCCCCAAUG